rnacentral:rRNA from 1 species
GAGGAAUAUUGCGCAAUGGGGGAAACCCUGACGCAGCGACGCCGCGUGGAUGAUGAAGGCUUUCGGGUCGUAAAAUCCUGUCAGAUGGAAAGAAGUGCAUAUGCAUUAAUAGUGCAUAUGCUUGACGGUACCA